GUAGGGUGCAAGCGUUAAUCGGAAUUACUGGGCGUAAAGAGUGCGCAGGCGGUUUUGCAAGACCGAUGUGAAAUCCCCGGGCUUAACCUGGGAACUGCAUUGGUGACUGCAAGGCUAGAGUGUGUCAGAGGGAGGUGGAAUUCCGCAUGUAGCAGUGAAAUGCGUAGAUAUGCGGAGGAACACCGAUGGCGAAGGCAGCCUCCUGGGAUAACACUGACGCUCAUGCACGAAAGCGUGGGGAGCAAACAGGAUUAGAUACCCUGGUAGUCCACGCCCUAAACGAUGUCUACUAGUUGUCGGGGAUUAAUUUCCUUGGUAACGCAGCUAACGCGUGAAGUAGACCGCCUGGGGAGUACGGUCGCAAGAUUA
rnacentral:rRNA from 1 species